rnacentral:rRNA from 1 species
AGAUUGAACGCUGGCGGCAUGCCUAACACAUGCAAGUCGAACGGGAGUAGCAAUACUCUAGUGGCGGACGGGUGAGGAAUACGUAGGAAUUUGCCCUUAAGUGGGGGAUAACCCGGGGAAACCCGGAUUAAUACCGCAUGACCUCGAAAGAGCAAAGUGGGGGAUCGCAAGACCUCACGCUUUUGGAGAAGCCUACGU